rnacentral:rRNA from 1 species
UACGGAGGGUGCGAGCGUUGUUCGGAAUUACUGGGCGUAAAGGGCGCGUAGGUGGUUUUGUAAGUCAGAUGUGAAAUCCUCCGGCUCAACUGGAGAACUGCAUCUGAAACUGCAGGACUAGAGUACAGAAGAGGGAAACGGAAUUCCCGGUGUAGAGGUGAAAUUCGUAGAUAUCGGGAGGAACACCGGUGGCGAAGGCGGUUUCCUGGUCUGAUACUGACACUGAGGCGCGAAAGCGUGGGGAG